CCUCGCUCCGGGGCUGCACACCGCGAGGACCCACCCAGCGACCACGAUGGUGAGGCUGGUGCUGCCCAACCCGGGGCUGGAGGCCCGGACCCCAUCCCUGGGCCAGCUGGAGUACAUUGAGGAGGAGGAGAGAAGCUCCCGGCCCAAGUGGGACAACAAGGCCCAGUACAUGCUCACCUGCGUGGGCUUCUGCGUGGGCCUGGGCAACGUGUGGCGCUUCCCCUACCUGUGCCAGAGCCACGGCGGAGGGGCGUUUAUGAUCCCGUUCCUCAUCCUGCUGGUCUUGGAGGGGAUCCCCCUGCUCUACCUGGAGUUCGCCAUCGGGCAGAGGCUGCGGAAGGGCAGCGUGGGCGUCUGGAGCGCCAUCCACCCCGCCCUGAAGGGUGUAGGCAUCGCGUCCAUGUUCGUGUCCUUCAUGGUCAGCCUCUACUACAACACCAUCAUCGCCUGGGUCAUGUGGUACUUCUUCAACUCCUUCCAGGACCCCCUGCCUUGGAGCCAGUGCCCGCUCAACGCCAACCAGACGGGCUACGUGGAGGAGUGUGCCCGCAGCUCCCCUGUGGACUACUUCUGGUACCGGGAGACCCUCAACAUCUCCACGUCCAUCAACGCCUCAGGCUCCGUGCAGUGGUGGAUCCUGCUCUCGCUGACCUGUGCCUGGAGCGUGCUCUACGUGUGCGUCAUCCGGGGCAUCGAGACCACGGGCAAGGCCGUGUACAUCACCUCGACGCUGCCCUACAUCGUCCUGACCAUCUUCCUCAUCCGGGGCCUGACGCUCAAGGGUGCCACCAGCGGCAUCGUCUUCCUCUUCACGCCCAACGUCACGGAGCUGGCCAACCCGGUCACCUGGCUGGAUGCGGGCGCGCAGGUCUUCUACUCCUUCUCGCUGGCCUUCGGGGGCCUCAUCUCCUUCUCCAGCUACAACUCCGUCCACAACAACUGCGAGAUGGACUCACUGAUCGUGUCCGUGAUCAACGGCUUCACGUCUGUGUACGCGGCCACCGUGGUCUACUCCAUCAUCGGCUUCCGCGCCACCGAGCGCUUCGAUGACUGCUUCAGCACGAACAUCCUGACCCUCAUCAAUGGCUUCGAUCUGCCGGAGGGCAACGUGACACAGGAGAACUUUGCAGAGAUGCAGCAGUGGUGCAACGCCUCCGACCCCGCCGCCUACGCAGAGCUCAAGUUCCACACCUGCGACAUGAAGUCCUUCCUCUCCGAGGGCGUGGAGGGCACCGGCCUGGCCUUCAUUGUCUUCACCGAGGCCAUCACCAAGAUGCCGCUGUCCCCGCUCUGGGCCGUCCUCUUCUUCAUCAUGCUCUUCUGCUUGGGGCUGUCGUCCAUGUUCGGGAACAUGGAGGGUGUGCUCAUACCCCUGCAGGACCUCAAUGUCCUCCCCAGAAAGUGGCCCAAGGAACUGCUCACAGGCCUCAUCUGCCUGGGGACCUAUCUCAUCGCCUUCAUCUUCACGCUGAACUCUGGCCAGUACUGGCUGUCCCUGCUGGACAGCUACGCCGGCUCCAUCCCCCUGCUCAUCAUCGCCUUCUUCGAGAUGUUCUCCGUCGUCUACGUGUACGGCGUGGACAGGUUCAACAGGGACAUCGAGUUCAUGAUUGGCCACAAGCCCAACCUCUUCUGGCAAGUCAUGUGGAGAGUGGUCAGCCCCCUGCUCAUGCUGGUCAUCUUUCUGUUCUUCCUCGUGAUCGAGGUCAACGAGGAUCUGAUAUACAGCGUCUGGGACCCUGCCUACGAGGAGUUUCCGAAGUCCAAGAAGGUCAAGUACCCGCCCUGGGUGUACGCGGUGGUGGUCCUCGUGGCCGGGGUGCCCUGUCUUAUCAUCCCUGGCUUCGCAGUCUACAAGCUCAUCAGGAACCGCUGCCGGAGGCGGGGGGACCGCCAGGGGCUGGUCAGCGCACCAUCCUCAGCCUCUGUGAACGGGGACCUGAGGUCCUGAGCAGCCCAGCCCACGGCCUGCAGGCGCUGGGGUCGGAGGAGGGGCUGGGCCACACGCAUGUGUGCCGUGUGUGAGCGAGUGUGUGCACAUUGCGAGCAUGUGACAUGGGCACAAGCGUAUGCCCAGAGAUGUAUGUGUGCAUGUGUGUGUGUACAGUGCAAGUGUACAAGUGUGGUGUGUACGCCAUGUGUGGGUGUGUGGGCCUGUGUAUGUAUGUGUGCAGUGUGGGUGUACGUAAGUGUGUGUGCAUUAAAAGGGACAGGAGAGAUCCUCCUGGUAGGGGUGCACAUACGUGUGAGUGGGUAGGCACAUGUAUGUGUGUGUGUGCAUGUGUGUGAGCACAGAUAUACGUGUGCUGAUGCAUGAGUGUAUCCGCAUGUGAGUGUUUGUGCUGUGCACACGAGUAUACGUGUGUAUGUGCAUGUGUGCAAAGCUGUGUGUGCAUGCAGACUCUGUGAGGUCCUGCCCUGCCCCACACACGCUCAGAGGAAGAGCAGAGCGACACUGGUGGGGGAGUCGGCCCCUUUGGGACGAGUCUCUGGCCCCCGCCUCUUCCCCUUGCUGUCACCUCCCGACCCAGGGCCCCCGUGGUGUGGUCGGGGCUUCUCCCCCGGGUCCAGGAGCAUCUUUCGCGAGCCCCAUCUGGAAGAGGCUGAUGAACUUGAGAGAAGCUGGUGAAAUCCUGCUGGCCUGCCUGUCCGCUGGCCAGUGAAGAGGUCCCGUGUCCGGGCCACAUUCUGGCGUGCUGAAUGCUGACCCACUUAAUCAAAGUUUCUGGCUGCCACAGAUAGAUGAACAGUUAAAUAAAACUCAACUCGGCCUAAACGUUGUCUAAGUGCAGAGGACAGCCGACGGCCGUGCCCAGUCCUGAAGGGCCGGCGCAGGACUGUGGCUUUGCUGCGUCCCCAGGUGCGCCUCCCCCGUGCCCGAGGGCCCAUGAUGUGCGGAGGGGUUGGGCCUUGGCCUCAGGAGGUAGGGGCUGCUGGUGAGGUCCCUGGGUGGGGAGGCAGGGGACGAGAGCAGGAAAGGACAGGGGGAAAGGCCUGUGCAGGUGACCUGGGGCCACUCUCCCCUCCCCCGAGCACCUCCUCCCCUCCUGUUCCCUCUUCUCCGAUUCUCCCUUUUCUUACUUCCCUCUCACCCAAAAAGGAAUCGUUUAAAAACGUGUCCCCUGGGGCUGCGCUCCAGGACCCGCACGUCUGGAACUGUGCAGCCCGGUUGUGAGAUGCAGCAUCCGGGUGUGAUACUGUGGGUGCAGGGCCGGGUCGUCCUCAUGGAAGCGUCUGCUGGGUGGGGGGCCCGCGUGUCCAGGGAGCCCCAGGGGGAGGCCAGCUCAUCACCCCUCCAGCCAAAAGGAGGUGCUCCUAGCAGAGCUGGGGGGACUCGUGUGUCCCUCAGUCCGGCUGAGACCUCCACUGUGUGCUGUCACCACCCCCCACAGGGGGCCCUCAGGGGUACAAGCGCCCUCCCCUCUACCCGCCCCCUCCGAGGCUCC